rnacentral:rRNA from 1 species
AAUCAACGCUGGCGGCGUGCCUAACACAUGCAAGUCGAACGAGAAAGUGGAGCAAUCCAUGAGUACAGUGGCGCACGGGUGAGUAACACGUGACUAACCUGCCUUCGAGUGGGGAAUAACCUCGGGAAACCGGGGCUAAUACCGCAUAACAUCAUCGGGUGAAAUUCCUGCUGAUCAAAAGUUUUUUGCUUGAAGAGGGGGUCGCGGCUGAUUAGCUAGUUGGUGUGGUAACGGCCUACCAAGGCAGUGAUCAGUAGCCGGACUGAGAGGGCGCACGGCAGCAAUAGAACUGAAACACGGUCCAGACUCCUACGGGAGGCAGCAGUGGGGAAUUUUGCGCAAUGGGGGAAACCCUGACGCAGCAGCGCCGCGUGGAGGAUGAAGUCCCUUGGGACGUAAACUCCUUUCGAUCGGGAAGAAUAAUGACGGUACCGGAAGAAGAAGCCCCGGCUAACUUCGUGCCAGCAGCCGCUGUAC